UACCAGCACCCCGAGUGGUCGGGACGAUUAUUGGGCCUAAAGCAUCCGUAGCCGGUUCUGCAAGUCCCCCGUUAAAUCCAGCUGCUCAACAGAUGGGCCGCGGAGGAUACUACAGAGCUAGGAGGCAGGAGAGGCAAGCGGUACUCAGUGGGUAGGGGUAAAAUCCGUUGAUCCAUUGAAGACCACCAAUGGCGAAGGCGGCUUGCCAGAAUGCGCUCGACGGUGAGGGAUGAAAGCUGGGGGAGCAAACCGG
rnacentral:rRNA from 1 species